rnacentral:lncRNA from 1 species
AGACAGUGACUUAAACAUUCUUCUCCCCUAAUCAAGCUUAAGAUUAAAAGCCCUGAGCAGCAGAGGCGUGUGGACUGGCUGCCUGAGAGGUACACCUGGCUUUUGGAGGUAGAAAGGUUUGCUCACAGAGAUGGCUUUGGCUUAGAAAUCACCCAACAGAGUGGAGACUGCUUCCCUUCUGGAAACACGUGCUGCAAAGCACCCACCAGAUGGUGCUGGUGAUACCUAAAAAAGUGUGAGUGGGCAGCGAGGAGCCGAAUUUUGGGGUGUGAGGAGCAGUUCCCGUGGGUCCCACUGGAUGGAUGCGGCGCCGUGCACUUCGGACUUCACGUGCCUACCAACAAGAGCCUGUUGCUUCCUCUCCCUCGGGGAUGAUGGAGCACAGUAGGAAGACUCAUUUCUGCUGCUCAGACAUUCCUUGUUUCCCCAAGCAGGGAACAGGUUUUUGUCACCAAUCGCUACUGCUGCAGUGCUUGGAGGAUAUGUAG